rnacentral:rRNA from 1 species
UCGGUUGCCCGAGUUGUAAUCUAGAGAAAUGUUUUCCGUGCCGGCCCAUGUACAAGUCCCUUGGAACAGGGCGUCAUAGAGGGUGAGAAUCCCGUCCUUGACAUGGACCCCCGGUGCUUUGUGAUACAUUUUCAACGAGUCGAGUUGUUUGGGAAUGCAGCUCAAAAUGGGUGGUGAAUUCCAUCUAAAGCUAAAUAUUGGCGAGAGACCGAUAGCGAACAAGUACCGUGAGGGAAAGAUGAAAAGCACUUUGGAAAGAGAGUUAAACAGUACGUGAAAUUGUUGAAAGGGAAACGAUUGAAGUCAGUCAUGCUCUUUGGUAUUUAUAUCAUU